rnacentral:rRNA from 1 species
CCGGCACGGUGAGUAACACGUAUCCAACCUGCCGUCUACUCUUGGCCAGCCUUCUGAAAGGAAGAUUAAUCCAGGGUGGGAUCAUGAGUUCACAUGUCCGCAUGAUUAAAGGUAUUUUCCGGUAGACGAUGGGGAUGCGUUCCAUUAGAUAGUAGGCGGGGUAACGGCCCACCUAGUCAACGAUGGAUAGGGGUUCUGAGAGGAAGGUCCCCCACAUUGGAACUGAGACACGGUCCAA